rnacentral:rRNA from 1 species
GCUGGCGGCGUGCCUAACACAUGCAAGUCGAACGCGAAAGUCCCGCAAGGGAUAAGUAGAGUGGCAAACGGGUGAGUAACGCGUGGGUGACCUGCCUUCGAGCGGGGGAUAACGUUCCGAAAGGGACGCUAAUACCGCAUAACAUCCUGCCUUUGAACAGGUGGAGAUCAAAGCUGGGGAUUCGCAAGAACCCGGCACUUGAAGAGGGGCCCGCGUCUGAUUAGCUAGUUGGUGAGGUAACGGCUCACCAAGGCAACGAUCAGUAUCCGGCCUGAGAGGGCGGACGGACACACUGGGACUGAGACACGGCCCAGACUCCUACGGGAGGCAGCAGUGGGGAAUUGUUCGCAAUGGGCGCAAGCCUGACGACGCAACGCCGCGUGGAGGAUGAAGAUUUUCGGAUCGUAAACUCCUGUCGAAUGGGACGAACAGGUUGCGGGUUAAUACACCGCAGCCCUGACGGUACCGUUAAAGGAAACCCCGGCUAACCCCGUGCCAGCAGCCGCGGUAAUACGGGGGGGGUAAGCGUUGUUCGGAAUUACUGGGCGUAAAGGGCUCGUA